rnacentral:misc_RNA from 1 species
UGUGGGAGCGGGCUUGCUCGCGAUUGCGGUGGGUCAGCCAGCACAUACUGCGCCUGGCACACGGCUAUCGCGAGCAAGCCCGCUCCCACA